UCCCAAAAAUGACAACCAGAUUGCAGGGGAGCAGAGCAGAGAGUGAGUGAGAGAGACUGGGAGAAAGAAAGAACUCAACAACCCGUUCAGUUUUAGAGAGAGUACAGAGAAUAUCAGCCAGCGAAUGUUUUAUUUUACAGCUUCAUACUCGGCAUCUUGUGGAAAAUUCCGACUUUAGAAAUGUAGUUGGAUACAAAGAAAACCUGAUAAGAGUACACCAAUGUGUUUUUGAAAACAUAAGCGUUAGCAUAAACGUUUCCUGUUUCUUGACAUCGUAGUAGAACGGAGACCCCCUUGGUUUGAACUCUGCGCUCCUCUCCAGUUUUGUGAAGAUCACUGUCUGCUGCAGUCCAACCGUCAAGAUGUGUGACCUGAUGCCAGCUUCGCAACCUGCUGAAAAAAUCGGCAAAAUGAAAAAGUUGCGAAGAACUUUGUCAGAGAGCUUCAGUCGCAUAUCUUUCAAGAAAGAGGACAGUGGCUUUGAUGAGAUAUGUGUCACAAAGAUGUCCACACGCAGCGGCCAGGGAAAGGACUCGGUCAUCACGCCCCUGGACACCAUCCCUGAGGACAGGAAGGUAAGGGUUCAGCGGACACAGAGCGGUUUCGACGCUUUCGAGAAACCCGCCAGCCAGGUGAAGAGGGUGCACUCAGAGAACAAUGCCUGUAUCUCCUCCAAGGCCUCCUCUACUGGGAAAGAGUCUCCCAAACUGCGCCGACACUCCAGCCCCAGCUCUCCCACAAGCCCCAAGUUCGGGAAGGCUGAUUCCUAUGAGAAGCUUGAGAAGCUGGGAGAAGGCUCGUACGCCACAGUAUACAAAGGGAAAAGCAAGGUGAACGGCAAGCUGGUAGCCCUGAAAGUGAUUCGUCUGCAGGAGGAGGAGGGGACACCGUUCACCGCCAUCAGAGAAGCGUCUCUUCUGAAAGGUCUGAAGCACUGCAACAUCGUGCUGCUCCAUGACAUCAUCCACACCAAGGAGACCCUGACGCUGGUCUUUGAGUAUGUGCACACAGACCUGUGCCAGUACAUGGACAGGCACCCAGGAGGACUGCAUCCAGACAACGUGAAGUUGUUCCUGUACCAGUUGCUGAGAGGUCUGUCCUACAUCCACCAGAGGUAUAUCCUGCACCGCGACCUCAAGCCUCAGAACCUGCUCAUCUCUGACACUGGAGAACUCAAACUGGCCGACUUCGGUCUGGCACGGGCUAAGUCAGUCCCCAGCCACACCUACUCCAAUGAGGUGGUGACCCUGUGGUACCGCCCCCCUGAUGUCCUCCUGGGAUCCACAGACUACUCCACCUGCCUGGACAUGUGGGGUGUGGGCUGCAUCUUCAUCGAGAUGAUCCAAGGAGUGGCAGCUUUCCCUGGGAUGAAGGACAUCCAGGAUCAGCUGGAGAGGAUAUUCCUGGUCCUAGGCACCCCCUGUGAGGAUACCUGGCCAGGGGUCCACUCUCUGCCCCACUUCAAACCAGACAGCUUUACUGUCUACAGUUCCAAGAAGCUCAGACAAGCAUGGAAUAAGUUGGGCUAUGUGGACCAUGCUGAGGAGUUAGCCUCUAGGUUCCUCCAGUGCUUCCCAAAGAACCGUCUGUCUGCUCAGGCAGCUCUCCAGCAUGAGUACUUCAGCCACCUUCCUCCACGGCUCUGGGAGAUCUCAGACAUGGCUACUAUCUUCACGGUACCAAAUGUCAAGCUGCAGGUGGAGUCAGGUGACAGUAUACAGGUGUGUACCAGGACCAUCUCCAGCCAUGCUAAAGGACCGCCCAGCAGCAAACACUGACCGGGGCAGACUGCCCCACAGCUAGCCAGAUCCGAGCUCAGGUGUGAGCUCCAUGACAAGUGAAGAGAAGGGGCCGUGAUUUGGUUGCUGCUGUGGUCAGUCCAAGAGAGAAGGACAAAGACACUGAGAUGGAGGAACCACCGGGAUCACAUUCCCUCUUCUGUUUCUUUCACGUAUUACCUUUCCAAGUGUGUGUGUGUGUGUGUGUGUGUGUGUGUGUGUGUGUGUGUGUGUGUGUGUGUGUGUGUGUGACACCUCCAAUUUCAGUUUUAUAAUUUGCCAUUUUUGUUGACUUUUAUAAUGUUAUGAUACUCAUAAAUCGUUGACACAUUUACAAUACCCUUAAUCAUCAAGGGACUUUACAAUACUAUUGAUGCAUACUGUGGCUUGUGUUUCUAACUACCUAUGUGAGAAUGUAUAUUUGUAUGUACAGUAUACUCAUAUUUAGAAAAUAUAUCACGGACUCUAAGAAAGCUUAAAUUCUUUCACUAACAUGCUGCACUUGCAUGCAUUCACGCACGCAUGCACAAACUCACACGUACACACACACAGAUACACACCCACUGGACAGUUUCACUCACACUCACAAAACACACUUGAACUGAGAAUGACAAGCGGUGGUAAUGUUUCUCUUUAACUUUGAACUGUUCCUCCUCUGUAACUGUCAGUCCAGAGUCAAAUGGCAUCAACUCAAUAAUAAUCAUAAGAGCAAUGGUAGUAAUACUGUACUAAUACUGUAAUAGUGAUACUGGUGAUAAUAAUCCGUCAGUCUCUGCUGGAGAUGAUGCAUACACACAAAGCAAUGAGCGUCGAUGACAUCGUGAAGAGUCACAUUAUAUGGUUCAUUCGCUGUGGUUCGUCUCAGUGUAUGUGGGUGUGUUAUAUCUGUGUGGUUGCAUGUGCAUCAAACAUGGGCAAUAUGGGCUAUACCCUUCAUUGGUGCUUCCAUGUAGGCCACGAGGUACUGUUAUCUAUACCGCAUCCUGUUGUGCACUGUAUCUAGAUGGUAAAACACAAUGGCAAUAGGCUCAGUGGGAUUUUGAUCUCUUGGUUACUUCGACCCAUGACAAUCCUCUUCUCCUUCACAUCCUUUGAUAGCGUCACCAUCCAGUAAUGUACUGUAUUUCAGUCAUCACAAAUGUUAUUAGACGAUUGCGUCAUCAUCUGUUUGUCUCAGCUAUCACGUUAAUACAAAUAUUAGGAGCACUUUUUACGAUAUCGCAUGAUAUUGAUCUAACAAAUACUUUUGUUUCUUGGGUACUAUGUUACAUUGGCUGGUACAAAGAUGUCUUUGUGUUCGAUUUUCAGCUGGGUGUUGUUUUGUGUAAAAAUACCUGCUCAUAUUAGUCAUGUGUGAGCUAGGUAAUAUAGCAAUGACCAGUAACAUGGAGAAUAUGGGUUUCCGUUUUAUGGAUUGAUUUGAAAUUACCACUAAUCUGAAUGGUCUGUACUGUGCACAAGUAGAGGAGGGGGAGGAGAGUUAUGAGUGAGACAUCAUAGACACACACUAACUAUCAGGAGAGAUUAGUUUUCUUAAUCCACAUUGACACCCUUAGAAAGACAUGUGCACACACACACACACACACACACACACACACACACACACAUGAGAACACAUGAGAGACAGUCACAGGUACAUUUGGCCACACACAGUCCUUCUCCACCCCUGCCUCACCUGCUAGUCUAUCAUAGGGGUAGAAGGACGCGGAAGAGGAGGAGGAAACAUUAAAAAUAAAUGACUCUUGUAGAAGGCUUUGACAUGAUUCGGCAUAUGGCCAAGUCUGUGUAAUGGUACAGCUUUAAUAGUCCCACCAUCUCUAGUGGUGUUUGGUGUGUUAUAGAGCAGGUGAGGCAAAGACAGAGAAACACAGUGAUAGUGACGACUUGUGUCAUCAGCUUUUUGAGAAUGCACUUUUUGAAUCUACUUGCCCUACUGUACAUUUCAGCUUAUUAAACAUGUCACUUUUUACACCUGUGUUGUCCUUAAUCACAUGCCCUUGCCUGCACAGACUAGAAAUAUCAGUGCCCUCCCUUGGCAACCGUAAUAUAGGCCAACAGACCCCAGUUUCCAACCCCAGACACUACAGAUACUUAAAGGGAUUUCAUAGGACUUCAUUGUCAUUCCUGGUGUGACAAGUGAUUCUGUGUCAUGGUAGUGAGGAAGGGAGGAGAAUCUAGAGUGACGUCUUAAUGUGACUAAAGCAGCGUGACAGAGGAGGGUUAAUACCAGAGAGCUCUGCUGAGAUAGAUGGCCCAGCUCGCUCUGCUCGGCCUUGCAUGGCUUUAUGGGAUACAGGAGGUAUUAAGCAGCUGAAUCAUUUGUUUUGAUACGUUACUCUCCUGCUUUCUGUCUGUGUGGCAUUUCACUUUUCUUUUUCCCCCUUUUUAUUUUGUGCCUUUGUGUCCCAGAAGUUUCUUCCUUUGCCGCCUGCCUGCGACAUCACAUAAACAUGAAAAUACUGUAUAUGUUUUGCCUGCCUGCCUGCCUGCCUGCCUGCCUGCCUGCCUGCCUGCCUGCCUGCCUGCCUGCCUGCCUGCGUGGAGUUCCUGAAAGCUCCUUUUUUCUCCUUUGGGAAUUAAAAGCAUUUCUCUAUGAAGGAAAAUCUUGGGAAAGAAGUAGUGAAAUUGCACAUUGAGCACUGUGACGGUCCAAAUGAUUAACAAUUGAAUGGGGCCCACUAUCAUUUGAAUGUUACCAUUGGUUCUUGCUUGCUAAGGUCAACUUCCAAAUGUUUAAAAAAAUGCAUUUGCAAAUACACCAUUCAAAUCUGAAUUGGGGAAUGGCUUAAGAUUGAUCUGCUUGCUAUAUUUGUCAUGUUACGGAAUGUGUACAUUUCGAGUCAUAUUUUGAGUUACAUGUCAAUAUUUAAUCAUUUUGUAUCCUUUGUUAUAAACUGUCUUACUAGGCUGUAUAUAAAAGGGGAGGUGAAACGCCUUGUGUAAAAUGUAAUAGUGACUAUGUUUGCGUACAUACAGGGUCACGCGUGUCUCCUUUGCGCCAUAAAAGAGAGGAUUCGUAUUAAAUAUAUAUGGAUAUAUACACAUACAGUAUUUUUUUGGCAUUGUCAGUUUCUUAACUGCGUAGACGUACAGUAUAUGUUGGGAAAGGCGUUUUGGAACCAGACAUGCAACCCCCGCUGUACUCAACACUGAAUCUGUGUUUUACAGUACAAAAAAAACUUCACUUGCGUAUCUAUUUUGUCUUUUUUUGUAUGAUGCUCUGAAAAUACAUCAUUUUCCACAAGUGGUUUCGGACAUAGAAGAAGUGUUACCGGUCACUUUAUAAACUGAAACUUAGGAUAUAAUAGUAGAAUAGCUGUUUCAUUACCUAUUUGUUACGACCUGUAUGUAAUGUUAUUAUGGAAGAUGUAAUGUCCUUCUGUAAAUGUUGUUUAUUGUUGGUUUACCUGAAAUAAAUAAAGUUUAUUAAUGCUUCAAA